CGUCACAUUCUCCCUCUCUGCCUCUCUUCUCUCCCUCUCAUCUCUCUCUGCCUCUCAGGCUCUCACACACUCUCGGAUUCAUAUCAUACAUGCACACUCCCUCUAACCACAGGUCACAGUCGCCAUCGCCGCUUGAUGUCAGACCGUCGCUGCUCGUCGUCUUUGUUGCUCCGGCUGAGAUGCUUCUUGGAUAUUUGAGAGAGUCAAGCCUAGAGGCAGCAUCAUCAUCGAGUCCUUGAGAAAACUAAGUAGCUGUUACUGCUCGAGAGGACCUAUUAACAUCCUUAUGGUAGGACUAGGAACAAUGGCAAAUGCAAGUGACAAUCCUAUUGAAGUUGAAGUUGGUGAAUAUGAGGAGUUCACACAAAAGUCAAGGGUCAGAUCUAAGGAAACUUUGGGAUUCUCAGUGACAAUGUUGAACUGGAGCUUGAGAGUUCUAGUGAGGAGGAGAACGAAGAAGAGCAGAAUGAUGAUGAUGAUUUGAAAUUUUAGUUAUAUCAUCUUAAUUGAAGCCUCUCCUCUUUUAAUUUGGUUUUUGCUUUUCAUUCAUAAUAAAAUCUCUUUUGUUAUUUUGACACUGGAAGAGC